GAGCAGGGGCGGGGUUUGCGCGGCUGAGGAGAGCCUGCCUGGUUGCGUGGAGGGUUGUUUUAUUCCCACCCCUACCACCCCCCUUAUUUUCCCGAGUCUUAUUAAUUUCUCUGUGGGGCUGCAGCUGGAGACCGCGGAGCGCUGGAAAUGACGCUCGGAGCUUUAAUUACCGCAGCCGCUGGACAAGUGUGAGGAAAGCUGACAAGAAAAAGAAGGACAGGAUCGGGGGAGAAGCAAGAAGCUUCCCCGCCCCCCUUCCCUCCCGAUUUGGACUGGAGGUGCAAGGAAACUGAAAAAAGGAGCCGAACAUAGCCCUGCUGCGGGGAGAGGCCGGAAACCUACCGCCUCUUUGCAAUCAACUUUUUUUGGAAACCUUUUUCCCCCUUCCUUUUUAUUGUUGACCAACCAGUGAGAGAGAGAGAAAGUGAGGAGGGAGCGAGAAAGCAAAGGCGCACCCGGGGAAAUAGCUGCACAGUCCGGCCCCGGAGCACCAGGCGCAUACAUUCGAGCACACUCCCACUCGCACGCACACUCACGCGCACACUUCAACCCCUCCUCCGGACCCCGACCCUGGACCCGCGAGCGCGGACUGGGUCGCCAACCCAGAGAGCCGGUGCACAGAGCGCGCCGCGCCUGCCCCCUUCGCGCCCCCACGCGCGCCUGGCUGGAGGAUCUCCUCCGCGUGCCCGAAAGGGGAUAUGCCAUUUGGACAUGUAAUUGUCAGCACGGGAUCUGAGACUUCCAAAAAAUGAAGCUGGCGACAGGACUGUGGGUCUGGGUGAGCCUUCUCUUGGCUGCAGGGACCGUCCAGCCCAGCGCUUCUCAAUCAGGUGGGUCGCGGUUCCUUCUCGCGCUCCAGCUGUUGAACCUGCUUGCCGCCUGCUUGGCUGUCUCGUGUGAUGUGGCUCCCUCGUUCUCUUUGCCCAUCCCGAUACCCACUCCCUCCCAGGCGUUGGAGGGACCGCUCGACCAGGGCCUCUUGCUUGGGCUUUCGGUCGCUCCUCUCUCCAUCCCAAACUUACCUUGUAUUUGUGUGUAUGUAUUUUAUUUAUCGUGAAAAAUUACUCUGUGCCUCUGUUCCUUUCCCCCACUCUGUUCUUAACCUUCUUGUUUCUCUCUCGCGCGUUUUCUGUGCGCCUGAGCGGGAUCCCUUCUAGUCGUGCCUGUUGUUCAGGACAUGGGAAACCCAGACCCCUCAGAGGAGACUGCACUCUCCCUCUCAGGGCCCUGGAGGGAGGCAACCUCAGAGAAGAGCGCACCUCGGAGGCUGCUGAAAGGCUGGGGUCACGGGGCUGAUCUUGCUGAGCCCCUCCUGAGAGAAGGCUGUGAGAGUGGAGCGACUAGAGCCCGGCUUUGCACCUGUAUAGACGGUCGCUGCGCCCCCAAUCGCCAGAGCUUUGCGGGGUCAGAUGUGACAAGAACCCAGCCUGGGCAGCUGGAUCUCAGCGGGCGGGCGCGCCUCGGCCUGGGGCCGGGAGCUCUGGGCUUCCUUGGUCAGCGUCCCAGAGCUCUCGCCCGACUGACUUGAGGGACGCUUGCUUGCCUGAUUGACCUCUUUAAGGAAAAAAGAAAAAAGGGGGGGUGGGGGAGGUGGCACAGUGGAACUAAGAGCCGGGCCUUCCAGUCGGUUGCUGUGUUUGGCUUCAGGAAGAGUUCUUCCUGUAGUUCAACUUGCUAUUGGCCGGAGUCCCUCCAACUUCUGUUUACUGCCCGGUCCGGUUGCGGAGCCUGCCGGUCGCGCGAAUUGAUUUAACCCGAGGCAGGCGCGGCGGCAGCGCUGGGUGCAUGGUCACUGUUUGCUGGAGAUCUUGAGCCCCAGGUAUUUGGACAGGCCAAGGGCUAAUUGACCCAGAGACGCCAAACAGUGGGGCUGGAGCGACGCGGCGGGCAGGGCUAAUGACAGCACCUGCAUUGAGAGGGAGCUCAAAGUUUCUGGCACUUUGAGUUUCCUGGGGAUAAAAGUGGGACCGGACAGGACUGAGGAGAAUCGGUGUCUGCCGCGGCCAAGGGGAGGCUUUUGGAGUGGCAGGAAGAUUUCCGGAACCAUCCAGGGCUGGUGGUGGGAGCGUGGGAGGCAGUUCGAGGAGAUAAAAGCCUCCGGGACUGGCGAUAGGGAGAGCUUUAGGCCCCCGGAGGGUGUCCUUCUGACCUCACCAAGAAAACAGUGCGCGGUAGUUUUCCCGCUCCGCCCCCGCCAUAACCCCCACCCCCCGCCUAGUAAAUAACAAGUUACAGUCAUUGAGCCUUUCAAAAUGACCUUCGAAAGGCACUGUGCGACAUUUGUGCAGGCCGUUCGCACCCUCCCAAUUACUUCGAAAUUCUUCAUGCAUACCAGGUCCCGCGCUCCACCACCUCAAGAAUCACACCAACUUGGACUUGAGAUGCCAGGAGGCCUCUUAGAUACAUCCCUUUUCAUCUCCCUCCGCACCCCGAGUCCCUUCAUAUUUUCCCUCAAUGGGUUGAUUAUGCACAUUGACCCAUUCAAAAGCAGUUGCGACUGACACGCAGGCUUAGCCGAGAGGAAUUUCUACGAGGCGACCUACUGGGGGCUGUCUGGUUCAGCCCUGCCGCUGGGGGACCCAGCUCCGAGUCCGCAGCAAUUUGGUAUUAACUGUGCGGCUCCGGGUCCAGCUAUGCCUAAAAGCCCUUUUCAGAAUUUCUGCAAGGAAUGUAAUCCAAAUUAGUUCUGCAGCUGUCCUCUUCCUCGUCUCAGGCGACACCAGCUCGCGCCCUUGCUAGUCUCUUCUCCUUUCCCUGGGCGAAUCGUCAGACCCACAAGUGAGCCCAUUUAGAGCGCGAGGAUUAGCGUGCUAUUGUUGUUCCGUGUGUGAGUGACUCUGUACUUGAAAUUCUGGGGGCACAAAAGCGAGCCUCACUUGUUCAAAACACAAAGUGAUCUAGAUGAAAGGGCCGCACAAAGGAAAGCUCUCGGGUGCAUCCCUGGCAUAAUUGCAACACGCAUACUAAGGUGAUCCUUUGGAAACUGUAAAUGCCCCCGGGGACUUUUUUUUUUUUUUUUUUUCAGUUCUCCUCCACCUGGCAGGGAAAGUUUAGCUGGUUUUAACGUAGUGCUAUUAUAAAAACAAGUUGCUCUCUGGGGUGUGUGGCGCUGUAUGUUUGUGCCUGCGUAUGUGUGUGGCUGUGUUUUCCCAAGUAAAUACGUACCGCGCGUCUCCACUCUCUCGGUUAGCAGUCAGUAGCAGUUUGGAGGAGUUUGUUUUGGUCCAAAUGAGAAAUUAAGUGCGGAUAAGUAAACUAAGCUGCCAGAGGGCGACAAGAUGUUGAGUGAAUUGCUUUUAGAUGAAACAAAUUAAGGAAAUGAGGGAAGACAAUCUGCUUCUCGCAUUAUUAGACACGCUUGGAGUUCAGGGGAAAGUGGCAUAUUUUUGAAAUGCUAAUUUUUUAAGCAGAAGGAAUGCACCUUAUUUACUGCUCUAUGUGAACAGAAUAAAAUUGUAGGGUGGGGGAUUCUGUUAUCUAGAUAUUUAUUAGAAAAAUGUAACAAGAGAUUUUUUUUUAAAAAAAUGGACUUGGGAAAAAAUCAGCUUUAGAGGAUUUUUUUUUUUUUAAUUCUGAAGGACUUUGUCUCAUUUCUAGUGAUUCAUUUUAUCUGAAACAUUAUAGCCAAAGGCCAUUUAUAUGGCAAUUAUAAAGCCUUUACCACUCUAAGAAAUGCUUCUAAAAUUUGUCGUCUUCUUUUGAUGGGAAAAUAUCAAUAUUACCUUUGUAUUGAAAUAAAAUAUAUAAUGGUAUUGAAGUGUCACUCUUGCAGACAUUAAUAAAUAUGUGAUGAACAAAUAGAGUUCCCAUUUCUUAUUUGCAGGGAACCCAGUCCAGCUUUCAUUUUUAUAAAAGAACAUCAUCUUUCCUAUAUAUAUUAAAGCUAUAUUAUUGUACCUCCAAAUUUAGGGUUGAUUUUUACAUAUGCAAAGAAAAUGUCCUAAAACUUAAAUGGCACAAAAAGAUGUUAAAUAUAUUUUCAAAUAGCAUCAGUCCUUUUUUUUCUUACGUGUGUUUACUUCAAGCACAGGCAUGAAUACACUAUUCCCUAUCUUCUUUUAAUUUGAAAUUCUUAUAUAUGUAAAAGAGCUUUGUACAAGAAGGUAUUUUUCUCUUCAGGAUACUGCUAAAUAAAUUAAUACCUAUUAUAACUGCAAAUUAGUUGAAAAUGCUGUUACUUUGUAUUGUUAUGAUGAAAUGGAAUAACUGGUUGUGUCAUGGUUCCUAUUUUUCCCCCUUAAAUUCAACUGCCCUUAUUUCAAUCAUGCAUGCAUAGAAAGUCAUUUUUUUUGAAAAUCAAGGCACUUAUGGAGCUAUAUAUAUAUAUAUAUAUAUAUAUAUAUAUAUAUAUAUAUAUUUCAUUUAGUCACUGGAAAUGUGUCUUAAUUAAGAAAUUACAUUAGAAUAUUUACCAAGGCAUGUACUUCAUGGAAGAUUUAUGUGUUUUUUAUUCUAACUUGAACACAGUAAGUUAGCAUUGGCUGAUUUUUAGAGUUUGCAUUUAUUUGAUGGAAAAUCAUAUUUCCUCCUUAAAGUGGAUUCAAUUAUUUAGUAUUCAUGAGCUUUCAUCCCUUUGGUUCUUAAAUAGAAGUACUAUUUAUCUUCUGUCUUUUGCAUUCACCCUUUCCAUUACUAUAGAUUCUUUACAUCUUAUUAUUUAUUAAGUUUACACAUGUGAAUAUAUAUUUUCCUUUCUACCACUAAGUGCAUUCAUUUUUUGUGUGUCUUUCCCAGCAACCUGCCACUCAGCCACUGCAGGAGGAGUCCUCUGAGCCAGUUUUCAUUCUCUCUUUCUGAUAAAUCUGAUAUGGCUGGUUGGCUGAACAAUUGCAAGCCAUUCCAUUGCUCAGAUUUAUUCCUGAAAGAAAAUAAAACGGCAUCGAUCCAAGAUCACUAGCACAUCUUAAAAGCCCUUACUCCAAGGCCAAAUCUUUCCAGAGAAAAGUUCCUCUGUACCAGUUCUCUCUCUUACUUCCCUCCUCUUGACCAAGGAAAGAAGGUGGACAGCUGUCAUUUGAAAAAUGCUAGUGAUGCAUGGAAUUGUGCUCUUUCUAUGUGUUUUCUGAAACAUACUGAUUAAAGCCAUCUUGAGAUUAAUGGCUAUGUAAGGUGAACAUUUUCUGCAAUAAGUUGAAUUAGGAUGACUUGAAUUAUUGCAGUGCUACAAAGUGAUGUCAUUUUUGUAUUAUGUCAAAUGAGUUAUUGAGAAGAUUUAGCAUAUAUUUUAAAAAUAGCAGUAAGUUUUGUCUUUAUUGUGUCCUGUGGCUGUUGGAUGUCCAUGUGUGAUUUGUAAAAUACCUAAAGCAUAAAUGAAGCAAAUCAACAAAGAGGAAGUUCUGUUACUUCCAAACUUGUUCAUGUUUGCUUUGUUUAACUUCAUCCUUUUGAGAGAUACUGCUUUUAUAGAGGUGUUAAUGUUUACAUUGAAAUUAGCCCAUAUAUGUUCAAGUCUACAAAAAUUGACAAGAAUAUUUUGCUAUUGUCUUUACAAUGAUCCACUGAAUAUGCCAUGGAGGAUAGAAGUUAAUACUAUUACCAACUUUUCUACAAAUUAUAUUAUCAUUUUAGAGAUGUUCUAUUAUGUUAACAUAUCACCAUUUAGAAUCAAAUCACAUUAUUUAUCUAAUACUAAUAUUCUGAAGUAUUAUAACAUUGGGCAGAAUAAAUCCUUACUUUACAUGAUUUCUAAGACCGCUAUCAAGUGAAGUUUACAGUUUAUAAUGAAAGACACUUGAUUUCCUAUUUAUUUUGAGUAAAAAGAUCUUAGACCAAUGUUGAAACUAUAGCUCUUCUACAUAACUUGAAGGAGACCUUAGCAGACUGUUUUGUGGUUAUGUGCAUCACAGGACACAGCCAUGUGGUUUAUAUUAGGAUUUCUACAUUCUAGGGACAGUUCUUCCAAAUGCUUCUUAAUACCUUAAGCAACUCACUCCAUCUCUUUGUGACUUUCCUGGUCUUCCUGGUGGGGGGCAGCAGUGGGGGAGAAUGUAAGUAAUUCACUGUUUUUCCACUGUAUAACAGUUUUCAGAAAAAAAAAAGUUUAAAAUCUGUGAUAAUAAGACACAUUCCAGUAACAAGUUAAUUGUUUUCAUACAUGUAAUUCAAAUUGCUCUAUAUUUUGAAACAUGUACAUAUGUUAAUAAACAUAACAUAAACUUUCUAGCAGGCCAUCUCUAUCAGAAAUGUAUGGCUAAAGAAAUAAAGAGAUCAUUGACUGUACACCAUUUGUAUUUAAAGACUAUUUCCUAAAAAUAUUACUUUUCAGAAUUGUUCUAUGGUCUCUUUAGAUUUCAUUGUACACUUUCCCCCCUCUGAGUUGUUGGUAAUUCUGACAUGUUUUAUUAAAUAGAUUGACCCAUUUUUCCAUGCUUUAAUAAAAAGCUUUAAAGACCCUUUCUUCAUAUUUGGUACUUAAACUAGUGCUUUGUAGUUUGACAAAGAAGAGAUCUAUCUCAUUUGAUGACAGUUGAAAAUGAAGAUGUUUUGGGAACUAAAGAGGUCCUUUUUUUUUUUUUUUGACAAUGUAAUAAGUUCAUAGUUAUUUUGUAAAAGUGACUGCUCUACAUUCCCAUCAUUUUGCACAACUCCAGGGGGCAGUAGCCACAUAUAGUUUAAUAGAAAUGGGGCAUGCCUGUACUGUGGGUAGUGUGGCAGCAGACCUGCUGGUGUGUGCUAGUGAAUAAAGCACCAAAGUAAACAUUAGGAGAUCUGGAUUCUGGCACAAUCACUUGCGGUAUGAUCUUGGGAUAGACUCCUUGCCUCUGUCUCAAUUUACUCAUCUCUAUUAAUUUAGCUAAAAAUUGUAUCUAAAUUAUUACCAUCCUGAAUAUUCUAAUGAUUCAGUUAGAGAGAAAAAUGGUGCUUAGACAUUUUAGGGGAAAAAUGCUUUGGUUUUGAAUUAUUUUUGUAAGUGGACCUCUUUUUUUCAAGUGAAUUCAUACAUGUAGUCGAGUAUGGAAAACACGCUUUUACCUCCUUUUGGGUCAAAGGAAAUCUGCUUUUGUUAAAGCUGCAGAGAGAGGCCAGCUUUGUGGCCCCUGCUUUUGGGCCUUUGACAUUUUCCCACUUUGUUCCACUGCCCCCUCUACACACUUGCACUGGCUUUACCCAUGCAAAGUCUAGCACCAUUUAGAAGGUACUGAUCUAGUCUAGUCCUCUUCAUUUCUAAGUGAUGUGACUAGAAGCCCGCUGGGCAGUUAAGUGAAAUAAUUUAGUGGCAGCUCCUGCCCAGAUGUUGUUUUCUACAAAAUGCAUGGAAGUACUUGAAAAGUCAUAGCCUUUUAAAGGAUAAAUAAUAGGUUGUUUUAAAAGACAAUUGUAAAAAUUGAGAUAUAUUGGAUUCACAGGCCUAAUUAGUGUACCGUAUAGUUCAUUUCAAAGGGAAGACUGUGAAUCAUCAUUAUCAUAUUUAAUUUAUUUUUAGGACAUAAUCAUUAAUUGCAUUUUAAAAUUAUGACAUAUUGAAAAAGUAAGAAAUGGAGCACUUUUUGCUAACUGCAAUGUCUUUACCUGGUUAAGCCUAUUUUGGACAUAGAAUUUUGACCUUAAAAAUAACAUACAAAGCCAGGCACUAUGGUGCACACCUAUAAUACCAGUGACUCAGGAGGCUGAGGGAGGAGGAUCUCGAGUUCAAAGCCAGCCUCAGCAAAAAAGGAGGCGCUGAGCAACUCAGUGAGACCCUGUCUCUAAAUAAAAUACAGAAUAGGGCUGGGGAUGUAGCUCAGUGUCCAAGUGCCCUGAGUUCAAUCCCUGGUACUGCCUCCCCCCCCAAAAAAAAAAAAAAAACAAAAAAACAUAUAAGCAUCCCAUAUUAGUGUGUGAUAUAAUAGAACUAGAUUUUUUUAACCUGAGACUUUAUGAAGAUGACUACAUAGUAGAGAAUGAUUGUUUCCCUAAUCCAGAAUAAGUUAUAUAUGUACUUAAAAUGGAUUAUAAAGGGUAACUGGUUAAUUCCUCAUUAUUACUUAGCUGGUGCAGACUAUUUAUCAGUAAAACCAAGGGAAUACUUGUCUAGGCCCAUCCUUGAAUCUAAGAUUCUUUAUCAUUUCUACUCUCUUUGUUGAUCCCUCUUAUUUCUUCAGGUCCCCAUUAAACAUAGUUGCAUUCUUUGAAUAAAUAUAUAAUCAAAGCUUUAAGCACCAAGACUUUAUGAAUUUAUUUUUAUGUCACUUUUGCCUUCCUCUAGUUGGAGUCUGCAAGAUACUUCCAGUGUCCUUUGUGAUUUGGCAAUGCAGUUGAUCCAGCCUUAACGCUGUCUAGUCAUGGCUGAGUUCCCUCAAGUGUCUGUGCUUUCUUGGGCAUGAUAGUAUUCUCAUGCACCCUAUUGACAGAGGGAGAUUGGAAACUCGUUUUGGCAGGGAGAAUCACUCCCUGUUAGGAAAUGGAGAUGAAAAUGGCUCCCCCCAUAAAAGAUUAACGUAGAUACCAUCAAACUUUGGGCCACAUCAUUAAACCUCUCCCUGGAGAAGAGGUUCACCGUCAUUACUCUAAAUCAUAUUAUUUCCAAUAUCGUAGAGGUCACUGAAGCAUACUAAAUACCAAUAAGAACAUGUGAGAUCCAGUUUCUGAAUCCAGGGAGUUAAAGAAAUAGAAAUCAAGGCCAUAAGAGUGUGUGUGUGAGAGUGUGCUAAGUCUACACAGCUUCCCACUUUGAAACAUAGUUUAAAGAUGUUUAAAGAGGAGAAAAUGAAUGAUGCAAUAACCACUCAUUUAUUUUCCAGAAAGAUCAGACUUGUAAACCACCAGUUUCACUUGCUAAAUCUUUAUUACUCUUCUGACCUUUACUUAUAUCUGUUUUCAUGUGCAUCUGGUAUAAGUGCAUAUCCAAGUGUUAACCCUUUAGAAUACAAUAGGGAUCAUAUACCUGCCUUCAAAAAACACAUCUGCUGGUUUUCUAGCUUUAACUGAGUCUAUCUCAUGGCUGCUUAGGACUGAAGAAACAAUGGAAACUGAGGCUGCAGGGUCUGUGACUGCAUCUAGUAGGGCUUAGACAAUAGCUUAUGCAGUCCUCUCUUUCAGGAUGGGUCCCCCAUCACUAGCAGGGGGUGUAUAAUAGAGGUCAUGAAUGGCACUGACUAUUUUGCUCUUGACAAACUCUCCUUUUGCAAAAAUCUUUGUUUGUCAUCAUUUGCUCUUCAUCCCUGUAGGCUUAAAGAUUAUGAGAAUAUGAGUUUUCUUUCUAUAGGGACCUAUGAAAACCAAAUAAAAAUAAAAUAAUGAUUUUUUUUUUAGACCUACACUUGUUUUUUUAGGAAUUCCUUUGAUUGUUUUGUCUACAACUACAGCAGGUAAACAAGUUAAUUCAUUUUAAAGAAAACUGACGGCCUGGGAUAUUAAAAUCUUCUCCCUAAGAUUGUUUACAAAGUCUUAUAAUCCCUUAGAUUCUUCAGUGCAGGAGUAUUGCAAGCUCCUCUUUACUACCUUCUGUGUUACCUGUCCUCUACUUCUAAGACCUCCAUUCCUGUCACUGCCAGAUGAUCCUCUCUACUAUACUACAUUUAUUGUCUAAAAUAUUCAGUGGACCCCACUGUGAAGUCAGAACCUGCUAAAGUCAUUGUCAAAUUUUUUAGUGUGGCCUUAGAGUCUAAGAUGUCUUCUGUGUAAGCACUAGGUUGAUUAGUGAAUGUUCUAUGACUAUACAAUGCUCAAUGUCUUUACUUGUACUGAUUCCUUUUUCUGAAUUCAUAGCUUGCUUGGUAUCUCUGCCUGACCAGACUGUUGAAUCUGUUAAGUUUUCCUUUGGAUUAUGCCUCUUCAUUACAUCUGCCUUCACCGACUAUUGUAGCCUAUAAUCCUUAUCAAUAUCACUACCAUUUACUUAAUCUAAACUGUCCUAUUAUUUUCACUCUUCAAGUGAGAUUUUGUCCUCUGUUGGAGACUAAUGUGGUACCCACAUACAUAGUAAGCACUUUAAAAAUAUUUUUUAAAUGAAAGAAUAACAUACAUUUGCCAGAACAAUUUUAAGCUCAUUCAUGGAUAGUUAUUAUUUGUAAUUAAACCAUAUAGUGUACAAAGUAAGCUCCUCUAAAACAUAAUUAUAGAAUUCUUAAUAAUAGAUAUUAGGCAUGUUUACCCUGGGAAUUUCUUUAGUUGCUUUCUUGAGCUUCCUAGGGUAUUUCUUCAAAUGGAGUGUUUCCAAGACUAUAGCAUUUGUCCCCAUGCCCAUUUUUAGUGUGCUUAUAAUAUGGUACAAAGUAUUUCUGUUGGUUUUAUUUUUGGCAAGGCAAAUAAAUGUGAAUACCAUUCCUAAAUGUAACUGUGUUAUAGUCUACUAUUUUUAUAAUAUGGCUAUUGUAUUACUUUAUCUUAUCUCCCAUUUGAGAAUUUUAAUUGAUUUAAAUAAUAAGCAUUUUUUGACCCCUCAGGACCAUGUUAGGAACUAAGGAAGGGAUACAAAAAUAUCAAGAUGCCAUUUUUUUUGUUGUUUUAAAAAGGCAUCAACAAGACCAAUAAGACAAUAUAAAAAUGUUAUUAAGUGAUUUUGCAAAUUCUUGGGAGAAAUAUUUGCCUUUAGAGAAAUGCUAGUAUUUCAUGACAAAAAGGAUUCCAGACAGAAUCUAGUAUUUUCUAUUCCUGAAUAUAUGUGAUAAUACAACUUUUUAUAACUAAGAUUUCUCAGCAUCUUAAAAUAGACAACUAAACAUAUCCUUACCACUUUGUAAAACCCUAUAAAGGAAGCAUUUGCAGUGUAACUGAACAGAGAGGUGAUGGGGAUUCUCUUAGCUGCUCUUUUAGAUGAUUCUCUCUGCAUUCUAAAAAUUGGUGAAAUGGUUGUAGUAUUUAUAGAGUCAGACUCUACCAGGAAAAUGUUCAUCUAGCUAUUUUUUCUCAGGUUAUCAGAUUCUAAGCAACUGUCAAUCUAUCUGGGCCACUAGGGUGCACUCAUUGUAUCUUAGUUUAUAAUUGCCUGAAAGAGUUAAUGUAACUUUUCAACUGUCUGCAGAGCAAUCUAGUAAUGAAAGAACCAAGCAUGGAGAUGUUGACAUCUCUCUUCUAAGGUUCUUUUAAAUUUUUCUUGAUUUUGUUGUUGUUGUUGUUGUUUUGCUUGAAGAAUCCAUGAGCAGGAUGUUUGGGUCAGGGAUUGUUGUUCUACUUUGUAGAUGAGGAAAUAGAAAUGUAAAGGAGUAAGUCUGACAGGUGUAUCAGUCUAGUGUAUUUAUGCAUGUGUGCCCUGUCCUGAGAGCCAGCUGGCUUGGCCUUCUGCUUGUCAGCCUCUUGUGUGCCAUCCUCACAGCUGCAAAAGCUAGUGAUGCUUCCCAAAGGCAUGACUUCUCUACUGUACCUGCCCAAUGAGCAGAAAAGCCAUGUUUAGCACACCAGACUCUUCUGCCUUCAGGUCAGCAGCUCUUUUUGCUUUCCUGUUUGUCUAAUAAAUCUAUCAGUAAGGAGUCCUGUUUAAGGUCAGUCUGUAUUUUCCCUCCUCCCUUGUAUUCUCUACAUCUUUCUCUCUCUUUGCAUUGUGUAUGUUAAGGAAACCAUCACACAGCCAUUUUUUUUUUUCUUUUCCAGAAAACUUCAAAGCAGGGUCUUUUGCAAGAUUUUUGGACCUGCCUUUAUAUAGUUUGGGGAAACUAUUUAAAAUUUUUCUUGAGAUAGAAAUACAAGUUAGGUAAAGGUCCUUGGAAAUUGUCGAUGCAGCAGAGGGUCUCUGAAGCUGAAGCCUUUUAAAAAACAUUAUGGUAAAUCUGCCUAUGUUUGAAAAUUUUACUUUUUAGGAAGUAAUAUUGCCCUUUUAACUAUGAAGUUUGGGUGUCAUUACAUAAUUUUCUCCUUAAAUGUAUAGAGUUACUGUCUCUUAUUAAUGUAAAAGAAUGCAUUUCUUCAAGAAGAAACUUAUUAUAUGCCAUGAAAGCAAACCAUGAAGGACUUCAGUAUGUCUUUGUGUAAAAUAAUGUACCGCAUAGAGAUAAUUUUCAGAAUAUUUUGUAAGUACAAACAUCUGGUUUUUGACAUCAAAUUUCAAAAUGGGUCAUGUGAUAAUGUCUCUUACACAAGUUUGUGGUUUUUUUUAGUUGUAAAUGGACACAAUAUCUUUAUUUUAUUUGUUUAAUGUGGUGCAUAGGAUCGAACCCAGGGUCUCGCACGUGCUAGGUGAGCACUCUAUCGCUGAACCACAACCUCAGCCCUGUGAUUUUAAUAUUGGGAUGUGACUGAAAGGAGUUGUGCUGGUUCUGGAAUGUAACAGCUAUGUUGUUAAGAUCCUAUUCCCUAAAAUGUAGCUCAUUAGAUUUUUGAUCAUUUGUUCUUUAGUAUGACUAAAAGUCUAUCUUUGACUUUUACCCUCUGGCUAAGUUAAAUGUGGCCAUUUUAGCUACAAUUGACAUUAUUACUAGCAGUGAAUUAAACAAUGCAUCUAAAUUAAAAUCAGUACUGAGCACAGAUCUUUGGUGAUAUUUUUAAGUAAUAUAUUAACACAUUUGAGAAACAAUAAAAAGAUUAGCAUUUCAAGGCAUACUUUUACUAUGUAAAAAUAUCAGCUAAAUAGUUAAUAUUUCCCAGUUGUUAACUCAAAAUUAGCAUCCCAUUGUCCCUGGUGAUAUAUUGAAACCUCUAAGAAUGUACUUGGAAUUAAUGGAAACUGAGGUGAUUGGUAUUCAGAUAUAAUGCCUUAGUGGACUUUUUUCUUUCUUUCUUUUAAGUACAAGAUGAAAAUUGAAAGUAUGAAAGGCUUUGAGAUAAAUGGAAAUAGACAAAACAUUUUAUGCAACUGUUGGUGAAAGGGGCAUUCAUUAUUUUUGCUGAGCGUACUCUAUUGCUUGUGGACAGAAUUAGCACACAUAAGCCAGAGAAAGAGAUAAGACAAACAGAAUGGCAUGUAGCUAAUUUUGUUUAGCAAAUUUAGAUCUGUUGCAUGCUAUUUCACUCCUACAAACUGACUCUGUCUUUCUUUGAAAGGUACAGAUGAAGUUUGUCUCCCACAUCUUAACAGCUUUCACUCAAUAUUUAUAGACUACAUAAAAAUAAAUUUCUCUAAGUACCAUAUUUCUCACUGACAGGAUGAGUACUGUGAAGGUAGAUUUAUUAGUGAGAAAAUAAAAAAAGAAAAAAACCAAAAACAUUUCUCUUGUUUUAGGAGUGCAGAAAAUAAAAUAUGUCAAGGUAUCCAAAAUAUCUUUGUUUCAAGGACAUAUAUAUUGGAAUGAUAAUAUUCAAGGAUUUUUAUUAUUUGUGAGUGAGUCAGAAAUCCCAUUAUUUUAUGAUAUCUCUAACUAGUAAUUCAUCUGACAUUUGAGCCUAUAGGAUAUGCAAUCCUCUGUAAUUAUUAAGAAGUCACUUAGAACAUAGUCCACAAACCCACAAACCUUAGUCUGUGUGGAAAAAUACUAUCAUUCUAUAGAAUAAAUUUCAGUGAAAUUUCUAAAUGGGGCUACUUGGGUGAGAAAAUGAUCACAAGACAUGUGACACUUGAUGGAAAUGUGAUUCUAGAAAAAGCCAGGAAUUUGUAAAUUAAUGUUCAUAUUUGGGAAUAUCUCAAGAUAGGUUUCUAAUGAUCUUUUUACACAGUGAAUUAUAUGGUAUCCAAAGAGAUGUAGUGUUAUUUAUAUAUCUGCUAGACCUUUGUCAUGGUGCAAGACUACAUUCUCCAUAAUCAAGCUCACUGUAGAGAAUAAUUCUCAUAUUCAUGAGUUGUUCAUCUCAUCUUGUUGCCAGUGGUUAUUUCAAGGUUAAUUUUUUUCAGACAGUGUCUCUCUUGAUUAAGGUCUGUAGUAACUGUAUAUGUGCUGAUAUAGCAUAUGAAGGUUUUAAACUUGAAGACAUAUUUGAUUUCAUAUCAAUUCAAGAUCAAAUGCUUAUCAAUGCCUCCUGCUUAAAGACACAAAAAGUAAUUUUAUUGUUAAUUUUUUAUUUCUACUAGGAAUGUGGAGACUUGUGUUUGACAUUUUCACAAUCCUCUAAACACUUUUAUAGGUUAUGAUGAAAAAGUAUAUUCCAUUACCAGGAAUAUGUUUCUUAGAUUUUACUGAUUGUUUAAAUAUUGAAAUAUUUUAUACCUUACCUAAUUGGAUUUCGGAGGCCACUAUCAUGGAAUCCUUACCUCAGACUUAUCCUGAUCAAACAACUGAAGAGUUAACACCCAGCAGCACCAAAUCUCUCCUUUGGCAUAUGCUGUGAUCCAUUCUGAUGUACCUUGAACAUUUUAUAGCUACUAAACAUUAUGAAUAUUACCCUUACACAUUAACAAAAGAUUUGUCGUGUUUUAAAAUAGUAGAAAUAUGAAUAAUGUCAUACUAACUUUGUAACACUUUAAACGGUUUAAGGAAUGCAUGUAUCUAUGUUAAGCAUACACAGCGUAGAUACUUAUUGAAGUUUCAAAGGACAUGAUUUAAAUAAUGUUACAGGUCCAUAGGCUGAAAAUCAGAUGAGUGAGAGAAACCAAAAGACCCCAGUUUGGAUAUGUAUUUACAAAAGAAUUAUGUCACAGUACUUCUUUUGAAGAAUGAUUGAAGAAGUAAAGGCCUGGAGAAGAAGAGUCUUGGGGUGAGACAUAACUGUCUUCCAUAGUUGGAGGGCUGUUACAUAUAAGAGGGAUUAGCACUGUUCUCUGUAGCCUUGGAGAACAGAAACAUUGACAGCUGUUUGAAAUUGUAAGGCAUCCGAUUUCAGUUGAAACCAUCAAGGGGUUUCCAAUAGCUAGAGCUUCCCAGAGCUGGAGUGGCCUGUCCCAGAAGGCAGUGUGUUCCUUCAUGUGUGGGGUGGUAAGCUCUGAUCUAACCUCUUCUGUGACUCUAAGGAGUGAAUGAGGCAGCUGAGGAACAACUGGUCAGCGGUGUUGGGUUGGGCUCCAUGACUUCUGAGAGCCCUUCCUUCCUGAGCCUCUGUCACAUGCACAUCAAGGCCACAUAUGCUUUCUGAAUCACUGAAAAAAUAAAGGUGAAACACAAAUUCCAUGUUGUCAUGGCUAGGCUUCCCAACCAGUUGAUUUUCACCAUCUUGCCUGCUCUGUACACUAGAGGAUUUGUAUUUUUCAAAGAGUUUUUUUUUUAAUUGUCAAAUAUUUUGUUCUUAUUGUUUACUUGACAGUUUAAUUUAAAACAUUCACAUCCAUCUGAUGUAAUGCAUAAUCACCAAUUCAUUCUUAAUUAAAAAAUUUAGAACAAAAGUAUAUGAGCUUUACACACACACACACACAAACACACAAACACACACACACUUCAUUGUGUUUCUGAGUUUAUGAUAGCAAGUACUUGUAAAUCUGGCUCUAACUAAACAGGAAGCAGAAAUAUAUAGGAAGGUGGGGACAUAGGCAGAGGAGGGAAUUUAAAAAAUCCAGCCUGCAGUUGUGAGUGGGAGGGAAAUCACAGCAAAUGAAGAACUUUCCUAAAUGGAUUGAAAAUCAAACGAAUAUAAAAAGAUAAAGGUACAUAUGCAUGCCUGACUUAAUUACAAAUGUAAUAGAAGUCUGUUAUUUAGAAAUACUUCAAGAGUUUUGACAUUUCAAUCUUUUACUGCCACUUCUGGGUCUCUACUGUCAGAUAAACUUUGAACACAAUGUUUUGCUGUUUUCUUUUGUCUCUUUUCUUUUAAAAUACUUUAAGUUUCCCUUGUAUAAACAUGGCAUUUCUGUUACAUACUGUCUUCUGCUUUGGUUUUUCUGAUGUACCACGUCUCCUCAUAUCCGUGUCUAUAUUAAUUUCGUUGCCUCUUCAAACUCCUUAACUUUAUCUAUACUUCAAUGCAUUACCUCCAGUGCUCCUUAUAACCUGCAGAGUAGAGGGGUAUGAAUCCUCUUUCAUGGAUAAAGAAACUGAGACUUAGAAGUACAUAUUUGGCCAAAUCACACAGCUACUUCUCAGCAUAGGAAAUAUUCUGAUGAUCAGUUUGACUGUUGUUUGUUUUACAUCAGAUAUAUUUUGGUUCUAUGUCCUUAAAGGCAAAGAUGAAGACAUCCCUCUAAAUAAGAGAAAGGUCUUUUGGAGCUCCUACCUAAGCUCAUCCUCUUCACGACAUUUGGCUGAGUUAUGAGAUCUCUUCAGUUGUCUCAUCUCUCUUAGACUAUUUUGAGCUCUUGCCCCACUAUAGAGCUCUCAUCCUUCCUGUUUCUUCCAUUUGGAUAUGCCAUGGUGUCUUCAACUCAAACUAUCCAACAUUUUCCUCUUGGCUUUCACAAUUUAAUGUGCUUUUCUUAUCUUAAUUGGUAUUCACUUCUGUAAACCCCAAAUUAAUGGCACACACCUGUUCAGGUGGCCAAUCAGCAAUGCCUAAGCUCCUAGUAAUUCCAAAUAUCAAUACUGUAUAUAUGAAAAUAAACUGAAACUCCCCAAAAGUAUCUUAAGUCUGAGAUCAUGGACUUUACCUUUCUCAUAAUUUGAACAUGAAUUUGUGUCCUCUAUGUUUAUAAACAGGAGAUGGAAUAAUGGUUUGCAGAAUAAUUCUAUACCUGUACUGGCGUGAGCAGUGAAAGUGGGCUCUUUGGGGAAGAAUUUGACUCUCUCUGAGGAACAGUUUUCUCAAAUCAUUUUUCCUUCAUAUUCUGUUUUUAUAGUUUCAGUAUUAAAAAAAAAACUGUAGAGAGACAGUUUUGUUCCAAAGAUUUAUGUUUACCUGGCAAACUCAGAUCCUGUCCUUUCAUGCUUAUUGUUUUUUAAAGUGCCUUCAAGAGAAAAUGGUUUUAAUCAAAUUCAUGAGAUAACUUUUUAUGUUAUAUUUUAUAGGCAUUUAAACUUUUCAAGAUAGGACCAACUAAUAUAAUGUAUGGUUGAAUGUAUUUUUGGAAAAAAUUCUGCAUGCCAGAGCUGAACGUAUUUCUGGAAACAUUUCUGCAUGCUAGAGAAAACCUGAAGAUCUAUGUACAAACGGUGAACAGAUUUUGCCACAUAGAAUAUAAUCAGUAAAUUGUUGUGAUUAUUAAAUGUUUUCCUGUAUUAUGUUUUUUACACAUUUAUUUAGACAGUUAAAGGCUGUGUGUGACAUUGUGAUGAUUUUAGUUCACAGAGCUCUUCCAUAGUACCUACUUGCUGAUUCGUAUUCUUGUACUGAAAAUCUUACAAGCUUAGAGGUAUCCCUAAUGGGAAUGAAGUUACAGCUCUUCUAAUGUUGCCUGCUUGCUUUUCCAGAACAACCUCACAAUCCCUAUAGCUAGUGAAUCAGGUUUUUUAAAAAGUUGUUUUUCCUAUUUACCAAUGUGGAAACCUUCCAGGAUGCUGUGAAUUGCUCAUUUGACAAAAUGUAAACAUGAGUUUAAAAAACAGGAUAUUAUCCUUAGCCCAAGAGGUAGGUACAGAUUUUGAGUAUGAGCUCUACUACUUGUCAUUAUCUUAUUCAGCUGACAGGUGGUGCUCCAGAACAGUAUGGGCAGUGAGAAUGUGUGAUUAGAUUCCUAUCAGAAUUUUUGAGCAAAUCAGGUGCUGAACUCUUAAAGACCCCUUAACAUAUAGUUGAAUUACUAUACAUUUUAGAUGGAAGGAUAGUAACCCAACAAAAUCACCGUCACAUGGAAAACUUUCUUAAAUUUUUAAAGUUGCAGUCAUUGACCUUGACGGAUCUCAAGAUUUCACAUAGCUUCAACAAUCUGUCUUACUUUAAUGCAAAUGAAUAAUUUGGGAUAUUGAACUACAAAGAAUGUCAUUUUCCCCAGAUUCCUCUGUUGAUUCUGUUAUUGUUGUUAUUAUGAUAUUCUAUUAAUUUAGAAAAGUUUUUAACAAAAUAGUUUAACACAAAGAUGUAUAAGAAUGUAUUAAUCUAAUCAGGAUGUCCUGAUUUAUUUAAAAUGAAGCUAUACAAGUUGACCAAACUCUUAUGAAUGCACUUCAUAAGAGUGGCUCGCACGGGGAGCGACUGAGGGUAAGUGAACUGCUCGCCCCUGAGGGCAGGGCAAGAGGAUGGGUAGCCAUUUUAAGAUUCUUCUUUUGUUAUUUUGAUUCACUUUUGUUUUAAGUUGCCUGUCCCUGGAGAUGUGUAAGAUGGAAGAAAAACCGCUCACAUCUGAGGUACAGAUAGGGAGAAAGGACAGAUGGACAUUUCAGGAGGCUAUUAUAAUGAUUUUGUGUUGUUCCAAUUUUGUUUCACUCUGUUUCAGUUUUGUUAGGCGUUAUCUUGUUGGGUUGUAUUAUAGUAGAAAUACGGGAUCAGAAAUUAGUAAAAAACAAACUGAAAGAGUGUUAAGUAAAUUGUUAGAGGAAGGAGGCAUCUCAGUAAAAUCAAGAACAAUCAGGGCAUACGUUGAUACAAUACAAAAAUGUAGCCCAUGGCUUUUUAAGGAGGAGUUGUUAAAUAUAUCACAAUGGAACCAUCAUGGUGAAGAUUUAAAAAGAAUAGAAAAGAAAAGCCCAGGGACUCUGCCAGUUGGCACAUUGCCAUUGUGGACGUUCAUAUCUUGUUUGCUUAGUCCAAAGCCUUCAGUUCAGACAAUGGUAGAGGAAGGAGAAGACAUAAUGAUUCAAGUAAAAGAGAAGGUCUCUCAAGUUAGUCAGACAGAGGAAAAGAUUCAAGUAAAAGAGAAGGCCUCUCAAGCUAGUCAGACAGAGAAAGAAAGUGUAAAACAGAAAAAGCCAUCAGGGGGAAAGUUACAACAGGAGACUGCUACUAACACCUUUCUAUCACCAGAGGGUGUAAGUGUCCAACCAACAGCACCACCUCUACAGGAGACUGCUACUAACACCUUUCUAUCACCAGAGGGUGUAAGUGUCCAACCAACAGCACCACCUCUACAGGAGACUGCUACUAACACCUUUCUAUCCCCAGAGGACGUAAGUGUCCAACUAACAAGGCCACCUCCAUAUGCUGGGAGGUCCCCAACCCCCGCAGUUGAUAGUUGGGAUCCUGAGACAAGAUCUCAAAUAUUAACAUGCCCUGUAUUUGAGGCAGGAGGGCAGCGAUUUUACCAAGUUUUAAAUUUCAAAACAGUGAAGCAGCUAAAAGAGGCUGUAACAACCUAUGGUCCUCAAGCACCCUUCACUGUAAGCAUGGUCGAAUCCAUUAACAACUUGAACAUGACGCCAGCAGAUUGGGCUAAUAUGUGUAAAGCUGUGCUAAAUGGAGGACAAUACCUGUUAUGGAAGGUUGCCAAUGAGGAAUUUUGCAAGGAGACGGCUAGGCGAAAUGCAGCAGCUGGUUAUCCUCAGAGAAAUCUAGAUAUGUUGUUAGGAAAGGGACCUUAUGAGGAUCAGCAGCAACAAAUUGCAUAUGAUCCUGGCGUAUACGCACAAAUUGCUGCAGAUGCAAUUAAGGCAUGGAAGACUUUACAAGGACAUGGAGGUUUACAAGGUCAAUUAUCUAAGGUAAUACAAGGAGCUAAUGAACCUUAUGCUGAAUUUGUAGAUAGGCUUAUUCAAACAGCUACCAGAGUUUUUGGGAAUACAGAACAAGCAAUGCCAUUACUAAAACACCUGGCUUAUGAGCAAGCGAAUCGUUGGUGCAGAGAUAUCAUUAGACCAUGGAAACAUGAAGAUUUAAACACAUAUAUUAAAUUAUGUAGAGACAUUAAUGAACAAGAGCAAGUCGUGGCAGCUGCAGUAAAACAGGCUUUAGAUGCCAGGCCAAGAACAUGCUACAAUUGUGAACAAACAGGACAUUUUAAAAGGAAUUGCCCCAUUGGAGGAGGGUUUAACAAAACUAGGUAUCAAAGGAGUAGAAUACCAGGUAUUUGCCCACGGUGCCGUAGAGGGAGACAUUGGGCUAAUGAAUGCCGUUCUCAAACCACCAUAGAGGGUACUCCAUUAUCAAAAAACGAACAAGGACCAGGUGUUUAUCCACGAUAUCGUGGAGAAAGGCAUCGGGCUCCAUUGCCAAAAAAUGGACAGGGGGGCCCAAUGCUCCGGGGCCCAAAACCACAAAUAUACGGAGCACUGGAGGAACCCAGCAACCCCAUCAGGGUAGUGCCCAGGACACAUUGUCCAUCAGAUCCCUCAUCAGACAAACCAGAGGGAGCGCAGGGUUGGACAUCUGCGCCUCCGCCAGAGCAGUACUAACUCCAGAGAUGGGAGUUCAAAUCAUUCCCACAGGGGUGAAAGGACCUCUUCCCAAAGGAACAGUAGGCUUAUUAUUGGGACGCAGCUCUUCUACUCUAAAAGGACUUAUGAUAAGUCCUGGGGUAAUUGAUCCCAAUUAUGAAGGUGAAAUAAAAAUUAUAGCCAGUUCUCCAAAGGGUAUAUCAGUAAUUUCACCAGGAGAUAGAAUAGCACAGUUACUAAUAAUACCCAGCCUACAUGAUAAAUUUUCCAGUCGUACUGUAGAAAGAGGUUCCAAGGGAUUAGGCUCCACAGGUGUAGAUUGGGCUAUGCUUUCUUUAAAUUUAGAUUCUCGCCCCAUGCUAAAACUAAAUAUUCAAGGACAUGAAUUUAAUGGGCUACUGGAUACAGGUGCAGACCUUAGCAUCAUCUCUCGUCAAGAAUGGCCAAAACAUUGGCCAUUACAACAAGCCACUCAAACGCUUCGAGGCCUAGGAGUGGCGACUAAUCCCCAUAGAAGUGCAAUGGUAUUAGAUUGGAAGGAUCCUGAAGGAUGUGAAGGAACUAUACAGCCAUAUGUAUUGGAUCAUCUUCCCGUAAAUUUAUGGGGACGAGAUGUCCUAGAUCAAUUAGGUUUGACANUGUUGAGAGCCACAGCCAAAGGGGCCCCAGCAAACUUCCAGCUGCCAGCAAACUUCCAGCUGCCGGCUGAUGAUUGGCUCACAGCGGCCCCAGCAACAUCUAGCUGAUUGGCUCCUCGGCCCCAGCAACAUCUAGCUGAUUGGCUCCUCUGCGGUGAUGCUCAUUGGGCUGUUUCCCUGCCCUUUCAGACCACGGAGCUGCUCAUUGGGGGACUUUUUUGGCUCCGCCCACGUGACCCAGCCAAUCGGCCUCAAGAGCAGGAGGUUUGGGGGAUGUGGAGAGAAGCUUGGGUGGGAGAGAGAGGCUUGUGGAAAGCCGGUGGUGGCAGUUGAGGCUCUGAGGGUUUUUCCUGAGAGACUAUUUUGUUUGUCGUGUGUGGUUCUAAAAAUAAAGUUAGUUUCUUUUGACAAGUGGCUCCUGAUUGUGCCCAGCCAGACUGCGGCAAUUAGUGACAAUAAUUGUUAACUAUGGUAACCCUUCACUGGAUACUUGGUGGUGUGAUUUAGAUUAGUCCUGUUCUGUGAUGAGGGUAUCGAGGUAAGAGAGUAAUGCAUUCAAGGUUUGAGUUUAAAGAAAGACAGUAGACAAUAGAGUUUAUGAGAGAAGCAGGGCUACUGAGCAGGGUAAGCUAGACUGCUUAGGUGAAAUGGCAACCCUAUAGCAUUUAGUCUGCCUUUCUUUCCUUUAUCUCAGUUCAUGCUGGCUUCUGUUGUAGAUUCUGUUGUCUUCCACCCUUGAGUGGUCCUAAGUGCACCUAUGAAUCAGGAACCAACUCCUGCUCCCACAGAGCAUUCUUAGUUUUUCUCUUCUGGUGAAUUUGCUACUUAAUAACCAAUCCAGAGAGUGUCUUUCCACACCCUCUGUAUUGCUAUCAGUUUUGUUAUUAAUUUUGUCUUUCUGAUUUAAAACACACCAUUGCAAUUUUCAAGUUCUGUUGUGUGUGUUAGAGUUCCAUGUAUUUAUGAAAUAACACUUUGCCCCAGCCCCUACCAUUAACUAGUAAAGCUGCUUUCUUCUUUACUACUGAUACAUGUUGGAGAAUUUGCCAUGAUUCUAAUGUGUCACUGAUUUCUUCCAAGUAGUGAUUUGAUAUUCAUACCACUCUGUGUGAAGCACUUUGGAUUGUUAAUUUUUAAUUUCUAUCAGGACAGGAUUCUGUUAACAGCUGAAAGUAGUUUGGGCAUGGCCCUCACAGCAUGGAAAACAAAGUUGCCAUGGUGGUAUCUAACAUCCUAACCGGAAGACAAAAGAGAAAGGUCUGUACUUUUGCUGAAUGAAUUUAGUUUUUAAUUUAUUAUGUUUAAUAAAGUUUGACACUAUUGAAGGAAAAAUACCAUAUUCUGACUUUCUCAUAUUUAGCUUCUGAAAGUUAACAAACUGUAACAUUCCUAAAAUUUUACAAAUAUUCUUCCAGAAUUUGAUUUUUUGUUCUUAGUUUUAGCAAGUAUGUAAAAUUGGGUUGUUUUUGGAAAUAUCUGCCUGAAAUCAAUGGUGCUUGAGUGUAAAAAAAAAUCAAAGAUCCCUAAAGUGAAUUAUUUUCAUGAGAUUUUAGUGUGACCAAUUUCAAAUGGCCAUUUUUUUUUUACCUUUUAUCAUUUCAUGUCACACAGUAGCUUUAACAUCACUUUAUACCAAUAUAGCCAUGACGGUUUUGCAGUUGUUCUAAAAAGUGGUUGAAAAGUUGAGUUGCUUAAAUAUUAGUAUACUUAAAGUAGUUGCAUAAAAUUUGAGUCUGUAGUUUGCCAUGUUUCUUUUCUAAUUGUAAUAGGAUUUUUAAAUUAUUAAAUAGCAUUUGUUGAACUUUUUGAAAAAUUUAGUUAUGAACAGCCUAUUAAAGCAGGCGCUGUAAGAUCUUCAUCUUAGUGUCAGAUCACUUAGUGUCUCUGGAUUUAUGUGCACUUAGAGAGAAAGAGCAGAGAUUUUGUAAAUUUUUUUUGUUGUUCAUGACUAGUCUAGAUUAGGAACCCCAGGGCAUGGGAUAAUUAGGUCACACAGAAUCACAGCAGUGGUAGUCCCAAAUAACUUUUAUUUUUCCAGAGAGAUGAUAGAACAGCUGUUCCUUUAGAUUGUGAUCCCUCUUUGGAACAGUCCCAGGACUUGUGAAAGAACUCUUCUCUGUGGUUAUUACCCGACAUGCAGCUAUUCCUGUCCUGUGAACUUACACCCAUCCCCUCCACUGCCCUGUGGCCACAGUUCUACCAGUAGGAGUUAGAUAUGGACGGAGAGGCUGCUUUAGCAGACCCCAGCUGAGUACUCACUCAUCUGUGUCAGCUCUUUCUCUUCUUCCAAUAUUUUGACUCUGAGCAAGCGCAUUAACAACUUGGGCUGUUUUCUAAACUACUUGGAAAUUAUGAAUAAGUGAAUUGCCAAAGUUGCCCUUUACAACAAAUAUUAAAUUAUAUCUAGCAGGGGCUUAUAGUGCCAUAGAUGAUUUGUUUUUUUAUACAAAUGUUUUGAUUCGUAGUGAUUUCACGCACUACUCCUAUUCUCUUAGCACAUUUGGUUAUGCUCUGUAGUUUUUACCAGUAUGCAAAUGGUGAACUCUAUUUAAUAGCCUUCUAUUAAAUGUCUAGCUGUUUCCAAAGAAUUUAAGGUGGGUCUUUGUAAACUCUGAGAUUAAAAUUAUACAAUUAGUAAUUAGAAUUAACAUUCAUUCUUGAAUGUAAUUUGCAGUGAGGACAUUAUGGUGGAAAGACUAAUUGUUCUUUUAUUUAUGAUUGGAGUCUGACACAAUGAUUAGAAUUACAUUUUCUGAGAUUAUUUGUGUGCGGACUCUGUCCCUUGAAAACAGUAAGCUGAAGUGGUAAUUAUAUAAAAUUUCAGUUUCUUAUCAGCUAAUUCAUUAGUUUUUAAGACUGAUCAAUGGCCAAAUAGGUCUAUCAUAUUUUCACCAGAAACUGUGAAUUACGUAUAUAUCUCAUAGCUGAGAACAAUGAAAUCUACCUAGAUAUCUGCACUAAUGAUACACUUUGAAGUUUUAUUUUCUAAGUGUGUCUAUAUUCAAAUAACAUAUUUUUACAGGUUUAAAACUGACACAGCACCACUCUGUAGGGUUGUGUUGUGUUUUCUCUCAUAUAGUGUGCAGUGUUUUAAUUCUUAUAAUAACAGGGUUGCUCAGUUUGCCAGCAGGAGGCCCCUCAAAGCAAGAUGAUGCCUCUCAGUUGGCAGAUUUCUGUGUAAAUAAAUAACACUGCACAUUCCUUUUAAAUACCUGAGUAAGUGAGAUAAUGCUAUGUAACUUUUUUUUUAAUUAAAAAAAACCCCAGCUGUAUUAUGUCAGUGACCUGUAAUAAAUAGCACUGCAAGUAGAAGUGACAGCCUCAUUCACCUUGCAUCCAUGCAGAAAUAACUGAGCUCUAUUUCCAUGGCUGGAGGGAGAAGAAGAAAGAAGAGAAGGAAAGAAAAAAACUGACAUUGGUUUGCAGUCACUCUCAGGCUAACAAGGGGGAGUUACAUGGACAAUUUUUACUGUGUUGCAUUUACUGCUCAACACAUUGCAAGUAACCUCUUGUACUCUAAUCAUUGGGAUAGUCGUUGAUGAUAAUGAAGUGACGGCAAUAAACAGUCUUUUGACGUUUUCCUGAAUUCUGUGUGUUUUUCUGUUAACCUUUCAUCAGUUGGCAAAAUAUCAUACUGAAAUUUUUAUUGCUGGUUGAGCAUAAUGAUGCAAUGAUUACAAACACAAUUUGGAACAAAGAUGGCAAUAAAUGUUUAAAAUUUUCUAAUUGUGAUAAGACAAUAUCAUCUCCACAUCAUCCUCUGCUCUCCCUAAAUAAUGGUAAGUGUAAAGACUGAAAUAUUAAAUAUGAAAAGGAAAAGCCAGAUGUAUACUAUAGAGAACACUAAGGCUAAAGCCCAUAAAUUGUUUCUCAAUGAAAUUUUAAAUAUAUAUGGCAAUUUUAAAUUUUGACUAUAUGCAAAAACGUUUUAUUCAAGAUGUCCACAUAUGUCAUAUGGAAAAUGUAAGAAAUGUUCAUAGCGAUUCUGGGCUUGAAACUAAAGCAUUUGCUCAGACUCAUCUUACAUUGAAAUGUGUGGAAGUCAUGCAAAUGUAUGUCAGUGGAAUUCAGUCCAUUGCACUUAUUUACACAUUGUUCCUAGCCAGUCAUUUGCCCAUCACCUGGCAGGCCUCACACAGCCAUGAAGGCAGGCAGCCUGAUUUACAAAGACAAAAGACCAAGGAUAUAUGGCCCUACCUCCAAAGAUAGAUUAUUUAAAUCUAAAUUGAAAGUCAGGUCUAUAUGGUUUAAUAUAUUGGUUGUUCACAAAAGAACAUGAACAACACUUAACUGAGAACCUCUAGAUGGUUCUUUCAAUCAUAUAAAUUUAGCACACUCUAAGGAGGUUGCAGAUUAUUUCAUAUCAUUAUAUUAAGUAUGUUUUAAAGUUUGUUUCUUAUAUGGAUACAAUUAUUUGUUGGAAGGAUUCUUAAAAUGAUUAUCUUUUCCAGUUACUUUUAUCUUAUAGAAAACAAAUUUAAGAUUUGUUAGUUAUUUGCCUUAGAAUAUGUAGCAGUCAGUGGCAGGGAAUGAAAUUCCUAGAGCCACAUUUUUUUUUUUUAUUUCCUAUGCAACCACUCAAUAAAUAAAUAAAUAAAUAAAUAAAACACUCAAUAAAUAGUUUGAAGCUAUUUCAAAACUUUUAUUUAUCUUUGUAUAGAAAUAUACAAAAUUGAAGUGUUAUUUCCUGGGAAUAUUCUAAAGAAUUAUGUGUAGAGUAGGUUAACUAUAGCUUAAUUUUUUUUUCUUUUAAGUCACAGUGAAUUUUAAAUUAUUUUAUAAUAUUGCUGUUAAUGAUAUCAUGAAUUGAAUUUCUAUUAAAUAUAUGUAUGUCUAUAAGUCCUAGGUUUAUAUAUGUCUUCAAAUUAUAAUUCAGAAAGAAAUAUAAAAAUUAUUUAAAGCAUUCUAUAUAAAUAUAAAAUAAUGUCUUAUUAGAUUUUUAUGCCAAAUUAAAAUCUGUGGACUAUAAAUAAACAGGAGAGAAAUAAAUAUUUUUAAAAAUGUUUAGCUUGAUCUCAUACAGGAAUGGUAAUUUAUUUGAUGAUUUAUUUAUCUGAAGAUGAAGUACCUAAAAUGUAUCAGGAAUGAGUAAUAAUAAGUUGAUACUGGAAGUGUUUAUACAUCACUCACUACUUUUGCUAUGAACGAAACCUGUGUGUUCAGUGUGGAGUCGAAUCCCAGAGCCAGUGCACCCAUGCUGUAAACACUUUCAGCUGUCCUCAUCAUGCAGGGUCAGAUUUUGGUACUUCUGACAUUGCAGGCAUUUCUAUUUUAUCAUUUUGUAUUUUCCAUUACAUAAAUCAGUGAACAUCUAUUAAUAUAUCUUGAAAUUAUAUAUCAUAUGAUCUAAUAGUAUUUCUAUAGACUUUGUCCCCUCUACUGGAUACUGUUAAUCUAAAAUUAAUGAAAUGUUUGUAACAAUAUAUAUUGUAACUAAACUCAUGUUCUUAUUUUUUCCCUGUUAUAUUGUUUUUUCCUUUCACACCUGAUUACUUUUCAAUGUAAAAAUAAACUUAUUUGUUUUGUCCUUGACUUGGGUUGGUAUGUGUAUUUAAUAUUUCAUGGGUAUGUAUGGCAACUAAUGCACUUGAAUAAUGAUGAAAAAUUAUGUAAACAAGAUAGUAUUUAAACAAUUAUGUGAAACCUAUUUACAUGUGUAUAUCAUUGUUUUUAAGCACUUUAUUGAUUUUCUUUGUAGUAAAUAUGAUAAUUGAUAUUUUAUUGAGGAGAGGACAGUACCAUUUUACAAUGUUAAAAAUUGGGCAUUUAUUUGAAGACCUAUAUUCUUGGUAGUUUUCUUCAGAGUUUUUAUCAGUGCAAAAGAGUUAACAAUUUCAAAUGCAGUAGAUCAAUGUAGUUACUGUUGAUAAUACAAUGGAUAUAAAUAACACAAGAAGAAAUACUUGGAAUAAAAUACUCUAUUUUCUUAUGUGUGUAAAAAUGGUUAUUUUUUAAAAUAAAAUUUACUUGUCUUUGAGUUAAGACCACUUCCAAUUAAGAAUGGAUUAAAAAAUACAAUCAUAUGUGGGAAAUGGUCUCUAUUCUGUAGUAUAAUAACUAAAACAUUGGUUUCAAGCUCCACACUCCUGAGUUCAAGUUUUAGGUUUGGUAGCUAUAUGAUCAACUUAGUAGCUAUAUGAUCUUGAAAAAAUUAAUUUCUUUGUACUUCAGUUUCUCCAUAUUUAAAAUGGGGAAAAAUACUUCUACUUCCCAGUAUUGUUUUGAUGAUUAUGUUAGGAAAUAUUUAUAAGGCACGUAGCAUGACAUUUGGUUAAUGGUGAAUACUUGUGAAAUGUUACUCAAUUUUUAUAUGAUGGUUAUAAGUUUUUAAUGCUCCUUUUAAUUACAUUAAUUUAAGUAGCUUUGUCUUUAGUAUUCUAUUUUCAUGUACUAAAUACACAAAGCAAAAGCAAUUUAUUUUAUUUUAUUUGACAAUGCAUUUAUUAAGUAGUGACUUCUCUACCAGGAAAUGUAUCAGGAAUAUGUAAAAAAAAAUCUAGUGAAGAAGGCAGAUGCAAAAUUAGAUACUUUCAGAAUUUUAUGAUACAAAGUAAGAAAAAAGUUCUGGAAUGAAAAAAAGAUCAUUCCAACUGGAGGUAGUAAGAAUUUUCUAGAGGAGAUAAUUUCUGAAAUGAGUCAUGAAGAUAAAUAAGAAUUAGUCAGGUGAAGAAUGUUAACGCAAAAUGUUCCCUACAGAGGAACCUGCAACAAUAGGUUUAAAGAAAUUAUCAAGGAAAAUACAAUUUAGUGUGUUUAAAGCAUACGUAAGUUGGGGGAAGGCAAAGAAUGAGACUAAAAUGCAGAAAUAGAUCAUAAGGGAAUUUUUGUUCUACUAUUUUUUUACCUUUACCUCCUUAAAAUAAUUGAUGGGAUGCUUUCAGGACAUUUGAUUUAAAGAAUUUGUCAUCUGACAAAGAAUGUGCAUAUAUGUUGAAACCAGAAUGCAUGAUCCUCCAUUCAAAUAGGCUAGUAUUGAAAAGCCCUGCUAUUUAUGUGCAGUUGUAUAUAUGUAGAACAAAAUUAUUAAAGUACCAAUUAUUAAAGUACCUUUUUUAGAAUUGGGCACUUUGGAAAUCCAGAGAAUCAAACUUUGGCCAAACUCCUUGGAAAGUUAUUUGUCUUUAUUUAUGUGGGAAGGAGGGAAAUGAGCAAUGAACAAUUAAAGAAAACAAUAAAAUACUGCAUUAUACCAUUCACCAGGCUCUGUGCUAGGUAUUGUUGCAUGAAUUACCUACAGAUUUCUGACAACCAAGGUAUGUUGAAAAAUACCUAGUUAUAUCUUUAUUUCCACCCUUAUAUCUAUCUACCUAUUUAUCCAUGUAUCUUCAGUAUCCCUGCCUAUGUCUCUAGAAAAUUGACAUUCAGAGAACUAAAGCACUGCAAAAAGAGUACUAAAGAUAUGAAGUGGAAUUCAGGUCAAAUUUCCCCUAGAUCCCAGGGUGUAGGGUAGACAGUGUUUAGGGUUAUUUCAACAGGGACCAUCUUUACUUCUUAAUUACUGUCAGAAAAAAAAAAUUAUUUCAGUUGUUUCUAUCCCUGGGGAUAUGUAGUAAUUGCUCUAAGCUAGUUAUUAUCACUUCAUCUCCUCGUUCAGAUUUGAAAACUAGAUAGAAUUCUGGUUAAUGAAAGAGAAGUCUGGUGUCAAGAGAAAGGUUUCCUCCCUCAAGAAAAACAAUACCUACCAGGUAAAGCACUCCCUGUUUUUGGUUAAUAAUCAUCUUGUCUUCAAGAACUCCUAGAACUGUUACAGCACAUCUUUUUUCCUGGAUAAGGACAUCAAUGGCAUCUCCCAAAAGGCGGGGAUGGGGAGGGUACUUUUAAUCCACAUUUAUGGACAAACUGUUUUAACAGAUACAAACCCUAAAUAUCCACUUAUUCAGCUAAGUAGCAUAUUCAUUCAAAUAUAUUCUUCCUUACUGUAAGCUGACUCUCUUUUCAUAGUCAUUAGGAAGAAAUAGGUAAGUCUAAAAAAAAAAAUUGAGCAUUUAUUAGUGUCAGAUUAAAAAAAAAAAUAGCAUUUGUUAGUGUCAGAGAAUCCAGGCCUGAAAGAGAUUCAACCAUGGAGACUAAAGACUGAAUAGUAGAUUGCUUAGGGUUAUAAGGAACAUAGGUAUGAAUUCCUAAUCUCUAUUGUACAGAUAAUAACAUAAUUUCAUUAUGCAUUAAAUUUGUCCCACAUUUUAUAAUAAUUGGCUCUUCUUUUGGAUAUCUUGAAGUAUCCAUUAUUCCCUGAAUACUAUGCCUGAAUUAUAAGUAAGUAUAUUUUAUUCUCAUGAAAGCUCUGUGGUUAGUAUGGAAUAUAUUUUAUGUCCCACAAAGUUUUGCCUUCAGAGGCCUGGUAUAGAAUGUCUAUCAGCUUUCAGUGAAAAGGCAUAUUAUUUACAGAAGACCUAAAAUAGCUUAAGAAGAGACAGAAAGGAGGUUAAAACCCAAGAAGCAUCUGGCUCUACAUACCUGUAUUACAUCAAGUUUUUCAAUGUGUUUACAGGCAAAAUCAUUUACUUUUCUUCUUCUCUAAAAUAUCUGUUGAGCCUCUGCCAUAUACAGUAUACUAGUAAACUAGUUUACUUAUGAGUUAUUGUUUUUUAUUUUUAGAGUAAUAUUUUCUUCUUAGUAUUUUAUCACUAUGAUUUCACUAUUUAAUUUGUCAAAUUGUCAUGAAAUAAUGUCAUUUGAUAUUCCUGAUGAUUCUAAGUAUAUAUGGAAAAUAAUUUUUCAUCAAUUUUUUGUUUGUUAAUGGACAUUCAGACUAUAAAAUGAGCAUGACUUUGUUCUAGAUAUUAUUUAUGCAAAUAGACAUUUUAUUUGUGGAACAUGAAUGAAACAUUUGGCAUGUUAACAAAUGUCCCCCUUAAAAUGUUGGAGAUUGAUAUAUGAUUUUAAGCUUUUCAAACAGAUAACUAUAAUGUACAAAUUGAAAUGCCCUACUGCUCUACCUAGUGGCAAUUAUGUGGUCUCUUAUUAGUUAAGGAAUUUCAAAGUUUGAUAACUCAUUUUGUUCCUACCAUGCUAUAGUAUUUUAUUUAAUAUUUUUAAUUUUGCUUAUAACUUUCUCAAAUUCUUAUGAAAUAGUAGCUUUGGAUUAUGGAAAAUCUUUUAACCAAAUCCUAACACUUGGGGAUAGUGAGAUACAAGGUGACAGUCAUUAAGAUUUUAGUCUGCAAAAUACUUUAAAGUGCUUGAUCCACCUAAAGACAUAUCUCCUUUCUUCUGCACCUUGUCAAACCUGUUUAGUUUCUCUUUCUUUCUUUCUUUCUUUCUUUUUUUUUUUUUAGUUUAGGUAAACAUGUAGACUUCUGUACACUUCAGUUUUAUUUAAUUUACAAAAUAGUCAUAUUGGAAAUUAUCCAAACUUAUUGUUGAAUUAAUUCAUUAGGAGGUAGUAAUUACAUAAUCAUCUUCCCUAUAGCUAAAUGGUUAUGCUCUUAUGCCAUGUCUAGUAGUUAAGUGUUCUGUAACUUUGUAUCUAAGUAUAUACAUUUGAGAAGAAAGCAAACUGAAAUGGUUGUGGCAUGUCUUUUCUAAUUUAAAAUGUUUCUAAUUGAUAAGUCUGUGCUAGUUUGUAACAAAAUUUGGAGACAUUUCUUUUGUUAACUUCUUGUUAAUUAGAUAUUAAAAUUGUUGUGAUUAUACCAAAUUUAAUUAACUAUUUCAUAAGGGUCAGAUGAGCUUUCAUGGAAAUGAGAGCCAUAUAUCAAAGCUUAAUAUAUGGAAACCAGUUAACUAAAUGCUCAACUACUUCUCACAUACUUUCUCACAUUUUCAUGAUCUUUAAAAUUUCCCAGAUGUUUGUUUUUGACAUAUCAUAUCAUGCUUGGGCAAUAGGGUUUUCUUUUUAUUUCUCCUAAUUAGUUACACAUGACAGUAGAAUGCAUUUUGACACAUGAUAAAUAAAUGGGUAUAACUUCUCAUUCUUCUGGUUGUACAUGACAUAGAAUCACGGCAGUCAUGUAGUCAUAUAUGGUUUUUAAAGGACUUACACAUUAACAUUUAGAAAGAGACUAGUAAAAUUCUACGUGUAAAUUUUUUAUGUUGGAUGUUCCCAGCUUCUUCUCUUAGGGGAAUAUUCUGGAAGGAGAAAUUAUAAGAAGGAGUAACCAAAAUGUCAGCAUAUAUGGAAAACUGUAAAAAAAAAUUAAUGCAAAGCUUAAGGAUAUUAGAAAAUAAAUAUAAUAUUAAUUCAAAAUCUUACAAUUUUCAGAGGUUUUUGUUUGACUCAAAAGUUUAGAAGUAGUUGAUUAUUGGAACUGGUAGAAGAUUAUGACAAAGAAAUUUGGAGAUUCAAUGAAAGCCAUACUGGAAAAAUGUCAGAAGCAUUACUCAUAUUUUAAACUCAAGAGAAAUACUUGAAGGAGGAUUGCAUAAUUGCUAUUUUGAAUAUUAAAGUGUCUUUUAGAAAACCUACCAAAGAAUAUGUUCUAGGAUGCUGAAAGAAGGGUAAUUGCCCACUAUAGCUAUUUAUAUUCUGAUCAGAUAUCUUUGCAUGCUCUUAGAUUACAUACACUCCUGGACAGAUUAAAUUUAUGGUGGCCUUGGGUUCUCUAAUAACAUUCCAGCUGUCUACAUUAACUAUAUAAUUUGUUGGUUGUUAAACAGAUAAAGAACUUUAUAUCUUUAAAUAUGUGUUUAGCUUCCUUUUAGAAAUUUAACCAAGAUAUAAAAAAUUAAAAAAAAAGUUAUCUCUAGGAUAAUUUAUUCAUUAAGUGUGAGCCCUAAAUUGUAACACAGUAUAUAAGCCCAUAAGUAAUUUAUGUUUAUUAGGAUUUUAAAAUAUACUAUCUGGUCAUUUAUGGUGGUAAAACAAAUCAAAUUUGAUUUUUAUAUAAGAAUGCUCUAUGUUUGGAUUGGGAUUUGAUUUUACCCUAAUUCCUGCUAAUAUGUAGCCUCUUAUGUCCUAGUUGGUGUUAGAAGAUGUGAGACAACUCUUGAGACAGAAACAAAUGACUUUAUUGCUCCUGUUGCCCAAGCAGGAUAAGCAUCAGCUUACUUUGAUUAAUUUUUCUUGUGCCAGGUGCUGUAAAAUGAUGCAGAGGACCCAGAUGAUACCUGCAUAGGUAACAGGAUAUGUUAUAGAAGAGAAACAUCACUUUUAUAGCAAUUGGUAAACAAGCCUGGUGUUUUUUUCCUGAAGGUGUUACCUCAUCGCUUAAUGUUUCUCAACUGCAAAUAGAACUCUGAGAAAAAGCUCAGUAAAGAGGCCUUCGAUUCUUUGCACAGUGGUUAGAUGUCAAUGUGCACAAGAGAGCUCUUAGAAGAUUGUCUCUCCUGACAGUAUCUUCCAAUUUUAUAACAUUUUCCUUCUUUCAAGGAGUUCUUACAUGCAAAACCUCAUUUUAUUUCACUUGGUGUUUAAUAAUCAACUGAUGUGAUUCUGCAAUCUGUAUACGGGGUAAAAAUGGGAGUUCAUAACCCACUUGAAUCAAAUGUAUGAAAUAUGAUAUGUCAAGAGCUUUGUAAUGUUUUGAACAACCUAUAAAAAAGGAAAAAAAAAUAAAUAAUCAUGCUCUAUUCCAGGUGUAAGAAACAAGUUUUUAAUUUAAGUAGAAUUAACCUUCAAGAAAUACUUUAAAUUAUCUUUCUAAGCAAUUCUCAGCAUUACAGUUCUUAGUAUUACUGUUGGUUUUUUGUAAUUGUAAUUAAACUUACUGAAAACAUACUUUAACCUAUACAUUUCAGAUUUUGGGGUUCAAAUAUCCUCAUACCUACCCACGACUUAGAUGCACUUAACUUGGAUAUAUGUACUAGCUUUGUUAAUUCUUAUCCACGUUGUAUUUACUAUUCAAAUGGCUUGUGGAGUGUUGUGCUAUGAGACAGCAAUAAAGCAUUACCAGUCAUAUUCAGACUUUAUAAUAUCACACUAAAAAAUAUCAACUCAUAUAGUAAUUUUAGGUUCCUGAGCUGAUCUGAUAGAUUCCAUUCCAUACAUUUGGGUUCAGACUAUGCAUCCACAAUUUUACUUGUGAGUUUGGUGCAUUUACAUUUAAUGUAUUUUGAUAUGAUUAGAUUUAGUCCUUUCUUCUUCUUAUUUAUUUUCUGUCUGUCCCAUCUAUCUAUCUUCCUGUGUUCUUCCUUUUCUACCACCCUUGGGAUUACAAAUAAAGUUAUAAUAUUCUGUUAAAUCUUCUCUAUUGGAUUUUUCAGUAUAUCUUUUGGUGUUUCU
rnacentral:lncRNA from 1 species